rnacentral:rRNA from 1 species
CCUACGGGAGGCAGCAGUGGGGAAUUUUGGACAAUGGGCGCAAGCCUGAUCCAGCAAUGCCGCGUGAGUGAAGAAGGCCUUCGGGUUGUAAAGCUCUUUUGUCAGGGAAGAAACGGUGGUUCCUAAUACGGACUACUAAUGACGGUACCUGAAGAAUAAGCACCGGCUAACUACGUGCCAGCAGCCGCGGUAAUACGUAGGGUGCAAGCGUUAAUCGGAAUUACUGGGCGUAAAGCGUGCGCAGGCGGUUAUAUAAGUCAGAUGUGAAAUCCCCGGGCUCAACCUGGGAACUGCAUUUGAGACUGUAUGGCUAGAGUGUGUCAGAGGGGGGUAGAAUUCCACGUGUAGCAGUGAAAUGCGUAGAUAUGUGGAGGAAUACCGAUGGCGAAGGCAGCCCCCUGGGAUAACACUGACGCUCAUGCACGAAAGCGUGGGGAGCAAACAGGAUUAGAUACCCUGGUAGUCCACGCCCUAAACGAUGUCUACUAGUUGUCGGGACUUAAUUGUCUUGGUAACGCAGCUAACGCGUGAAGUAGACCGCCUGGGGAGUCGGUCGCAAGNUUAAAACUUAAUGAAUUGACGG